rnacentral:tRNA from 1 species
GCCUGUGUGGCUCAGGCGGUUGAGCGUCCGACUUCGGCUCAGGUCAUGACCUUGCAGUGCGUGGGUUCGAGCCCCGCAUCAGGCU